CUCUGAAGAACUACUGAGCGGGAGGAGACAGCCAGACCUGAAAAAUGGCCAAGCCGUACCAGCCAGACCUCAGACCACGGUGCCGAGGAGCUCUUACGGAGUCCACCAGGACGAAGAGAAAUACAUACAGCAAGGCAGAGUGUGGAAAGCAGUAAAGAUCUACAAAAUGGCGG